GACGAACGCUGGCGGCGUGCUUAACACAUGCAAGUCGAACGGAAAGGCCCCUUUGGGGGUACUCGAGUGGCGAACGGGUGAGUAACACGUGAGUAACCUGCCCUUGACUUCGGGAUAACUUCAGGAAACUGGGGCUAAUACCGGAUAGGAAUCCUUGCUGCAUGGUGGGGGUUGGAAAGCUUCGGCGGUUUUGGAUGGACUCGCGGCUUAUCAGCUUGUUGGUGGGGUAGUGGCUUACCAAGGCUUUGACGGGUAGCCGGCCUCGGAGGGGGACCGGCCACAUUGGGACUGAGAUACGGCCCAGACUCCUACGGGAGGCAGCAGGGGGGAAUAUUGCACAAUGGGCGGAAGCCUGAUGCAGCAACGCCGCGUGCGGGAUGACGGCCUUCGGGUUGUAAACCGCUUUCAGCAGGGGCGAAGCUUGUGGUGACGGUACCUGCAGAAGAAGCACCGGCUAACUACGUG
rnacentral:rRNA from 1 species